rnacentral:tRNA from 1 species
CAUCUGCCUUGCACGCAGAGGGUCAACGGUUCGAAUCCGUUAUUCUCCA